UGCUUAUAUCUAGAGUCAGGGCAGAUCCACCAGGAUCACAGAUUGCUGGGGCGUAAAGUUUCUUGAGAUUCAUAAAGAAGCCUUCAGAUGUAAUAUUGAAUGCAAAGCUGUGAAACUAAAUAGAAAGGCUGAAUCAGGGUGGAAAGGAGGACAUAAAUUUGGCCCCAGCAGCUUCCUCAGCUGAAGGCAAUUCUUGGGAAGGAACUUGGUUGUGGAUCCUGAGCAGUGAGGCUAUGAAAAUCGAGGAGUGAGCGAGCGAGCGCCUUCCAGUUGCAGAACAACUACGCUGCACCACAGCAUCCAGCAAAAUGACUUCUGCUUGAAGGACAUUGUAUAGCACCAUAUAAAUGUCAGACCUAUUUUCAUCUUGCUUUCAAGGUAAGAACAGUCUCUUUCAGCCAGAGAACCUUUAAAAUGUUUUUCAUUAUCACAGC
rnacentral:lncRNA from 1 species